ACACGAGUCACUUGGGAUGUUGUUACAAGCAGAUUCUCAUUCAGUUAAGUCUGGGCUGGAGCCUGAGAUUCUGCUUUUCUCACAAGCUCCCAGCUGGUGUUGAU
rnacentral:miRNA from 1 species